UAUUGGACUACCAUGGCAGUCACGGGUAACGGAGAAUUAGGGUUCGAUUCCGGAGAGGGAGCCUGAGAAACGGCUACCACAUCUAAGGAAGGCAGCAGGCGCGUAAAUUACCCAAUCCUGAUUCAGGGAGGUAGUGACAAGAAAUAACGGACCGAGGCCCUCGGGCUUCGGGAUUGCAAUGAGCCGAAUUUACACCCCUUAGCGAGGAUCGAUUGGAGGGCAAGUCUGGUGCCAGCAGCCGCGGUAAUUCCAGCUCCAAUAGCGUAUAUUAAAGUUGUUGCAGUUAAAAAGCUCGUAGUUGGAUUUCUGGGAGGAUGCUAAUGUCCGUCGUUGUACGUGUGCAGCAGCGUCCUUCCAUCCUUCUGUUAACGCCUCUUGGCAUUCAUUUGCUGGUGGCGGGCUCAGAUAUUUUACCUUGAGAAAAUUAGAGUGUUUCAGGCAGGCUAGGCCGGAAUACAUUAGCAUGGAAUAAUGGAAUACGACUACGGUCUCUUUGUUGGUUUGAGGGACUGCAGUAAUGAUUAAUAGGGAUAGUUGGGGGCAUUAGUACUUAACUGCCAGAGGUGGAAUUCUCGGAUUUGUUAAAGACUAACUUAUGCGAAAGCAUUUGCCAAGGAUGUUUUCA
rnacentral:rRNA from 1 species